UCUCUUUAAACUCACUUUCUCUCUAGAUUCUCUCUUGUUUCUCUCUACUUCUUCCUCUUCCUCUGUACCAAUUCCAUCUUCUGCACUGUAGUUAAUACACCACUCCCCAAACCCUUGCUUUCUGCAGCUCCGACCUCUCUCCUCGCCCUCAGGUUCCUCAAACAUUGUUGUCAUUAAGUCAGAGGAUGAAUACAACAGCGCAAUCAGCAAAGCUAAGGACGGAGAUGAGCCAGCACUUUUCUACUUCACUGCAGUCUGGUGCGGGCCUUGCAGGUUCAUAUCUCCAGUCAUUGGAGAGUUGAGUGAGCAAUACCCACAUGUAACAACAUAUAAGAUUGACAUCGAUGAGCCUGCAUUCCAUCUCUUUCAAGACGGGAAGAAGGUGGCUGAAGUUGUUGGUGCUGAUGUUGCUCUCUUGAGAGACACUUUUGGAAAACUCUACAAAUAAUUCUUUAGUACAUUACACUACACUCGUGUGCUUUCUCAUUUGUGAAUGCAGUGUUUAUAUUAAGUGCAUAAUAAUUUUUAGCGGCUCAAAUUUCUCCAAAUGUGAUCAGUUCUAUACCUCAAUUUAUAUUAAACCCUAUCGUAGGAUUUCCAUUUCAUGUGUGUGUGUGUGUAACUAAAACUGUUGGUGUUGAUGAC